CAGUCGAACGAACUCUGGUAUUGAUUGGUGCUUGCAUCAUGAUUUACAUUUGAGUGAGUGGCGAACUGGUGAGUAACACGUGGGAAACCUGCCCAGAAGCGGGGGAUAACACCUGGAAACAGAUGCUAAUACCGCAUAACAACUUGGACCGCAUGGUCCGAGUUUGAAAGAUGGCUUCGGCUAUCACUUUUGGAUGGUCCCGCGGCGUAUUAGCUAGAUGGUGGGGUAACGGCUCACCAUGGCAAUGAUACGUAGCCGACCUGAGAGGGUAAUCGGCCACAUUGGGACUGAGACACGGCCCAAACUCCUACGGGAGGCAGCAGUAGGGAAUCUUCCACAAUGGACGAAAGUCUGAUGGAGCAACGCCGCGUGAGUGAAGAAGGGUUUCGGCUCGUAAAACUCUGUUGUUAAAGAAGAACAUAUCUGAGAGUAACUGUUCAGGUAUUGACGGUAUUUAACCAGAAAGCCACGGCUAACUACGUGCCAGCAGCCGCGGUAAUACGUAGGUGGCAAGCGUUGUCCGGAUUUAUUGGGCGUAAAGCGAGCGCAGGCGGUUUUUUAAGUCUGAUGUGAAAGCCUUCGGCUCAACCGAAGAAGUGCAUCGGAAACUGGGAAACUUGAGUGCAGAAGAGGACAGUGGAACUCCAUGUGUAGCGGUGAAAUGCGUAGAUAUAUGGAAGAACACCAGUGGCGAAGGCGGCUGUCUGGUCUGUAACUGACGCUGAGGCUCGAAAGUAUGGGUAGCAAACAGGAUUAGAUACCCUGGUAGUCCAUACCGUAAACGAUGAAUGCUAAGUGUUGGAGGGUUUCCGCCCUUCAGUGCUGCAGCUAACGCAUUAAGCAUUCCGCCUGGGGAGUACGGCCGCAAGGCUGAAACUCAAAGGAAUUGACGGGGGCCCGCACAAGCGGUGGAGCAUGUGGUUUAAUUCGAAGCUACGCGAAGAACCUUACCAGGUCUUGACAUACUAUGCAAAUCUAAGAGAUUAGACGUUCCCUUCGGGGACAUGGAUACAGGUGGUGCAUGGUUGUCGUCAGCUCGUGUCGUGAGAUGUUGGGUUAAGUCCCGCAACGAGCGCAACCCUUAUUAUCAGUUGCCAGCAUUAAGUUGGGCACUCUGGUGAGACUGCCGGUGACAAACCGGAGGAAGGUGGGGAUGACGUCAAAUCAUCAUGCCCCUUAUGACCUGGGCUACACACGUGCUACAAUGGAUGGUACAACGAGUUGCGAACUCGCGAGAGUAAGCUAAUCUCUUAAAGCCAUUCUCAGUUCGGAUUGUAGGCUGCAACUCGCCUACAUGAAGUCGGAAUCGCUAGUAAUCGCGGAUCAGCAUGCCGCGGUGAAUACGUUCCCGGGCCUUGUACACACCGCCCGUCACACCAUGAGAGU
rnacentral:rRNA from 2 species